AUAGCAUAGCUCCAAAAUCAAAUAUUUGGGUUGAACACGUUUAAAAAUUGGCCGUACAAUUCGGAUCACACUGGAAAACCAUUGCCUGGUCCAGCAACUCAAAAAUCUCGGUGUUACCUAGACAAAAAAUUGACCUUUAAUAGACCAAGUGAAAGGUUUCUUGCAAAAUUCCUUUUCGCCCCGUGUGAAAAAGGUUCUUCUCUAUAGAGAUCACAUUUUCUUACUAUAAACAUGUUAAUUUACAUAGGCAUAUUUUAAAAUUAAAAUAAAAAAAAAAAAAUUGACAUACCUCGCACAAUGGGUAGGCAAUAAGCUGG